rnacentral:rRNA from 1 species
ACGCUGGCGGCGUGCUUAACGCAUGCAAGUCGGAUGCAAAGGCUGGUUUCGGCUGGGUAUCCCCAUGGCAGACGGGUGAGGAACCCGUGCUUAACCUGACCCGUGACGGGGGAUAGUCUCUCUGCUGAUGGUUGAAUACCGCAGAUGCUCCCUUGGUGGAAGGCUAUUGGAGAAAACUUUCCCUCUGCAAGCCAGCUUUUGUCAAGUGACUGGGCCUCGUCCCUUUACCUCCCUUGGUGGGGAAUGGUCUACCACGGGUACAAUCGGGAGCUGGUCGGACAUGAUGACCUGUCAUCCUGGUCCCGAUACUCCGGCCUAACUCCUACGGGAUGCCUCAAUGGGCAAUUCUACCCGAUGGGAACAAGCCUGAAGGGUUGCCCCCGCGUGAGUGAAUAACCCUUUCUGGGUGGAAAGCUCUUGACGUGGGGAAUAAAGUCUGGUGAUGAACAGUUAUCAAGGGUGAGACGCUGUUUCCAAGGAUGUCCGGCUAUGUCCGUGCCAGGUAACGUUCUUCGACUUACGGGGAAAUAGUUCUUCUGAUUUACUGCUUGUGCAGCGCGCGUACACUUCCUGUGAAUUGCAACCUUGCAACCCUCGUCUUAACGCGGGA